GACGAACGCUGGCGGCGUGCCUAAUACAUGCAAGUAGAACGCUGAAGAGAGGAGCUUGCUCUUCUUGGAUGAGUUGCGAACGGGUGAGUAACGCGUAGGUAACCUGCCUUGUAGCGGGGGAUAACUAUUGGAAACGAUAGCUAAUACCGCAUAACAAUGGAUGACACAUGUCAUUUAUUUGGAAGGGGCAAUUGCUCCACUACAAGAUGGACCUGCGUUGUAUUAGCUAGUAGGUGAGGUAAUGGCUCACCUAGGCGACGAUACAUAGCCGACCUGAGAGGGUGAUCGGCCACACUGGGACUGGGACACGGCCCAGACUCCUACGGGAGGCAGCAGUAGGGGAUCUUCGGCAAUGGGGGCAACCCUGACCGAGCAACGCCGCGUGAGUGAAGAAGGUUUUCGGAUCGGAAAGCUCUGUUGUAAGUCAAGAACGGGUGUGAGAGUGGAAAGUUCACACUGUGACGGUAGCUUACCAGAAAGGGACGGCUAACUACGUG
rnacentral:rRNA from 1 species